CGAGGCGUAGCGCAGUUGGUAGCGCGCUUGGUUCGGGACCAAGAGGUCGUGGGUUCGAAUCCCGUCGCCUCGACCA
rnacentral:tRNA from 2 species